rnacentral:rRNA from 1 species
GACGAACCGUGCGAACGUUAUUCGGAAUCAUUGGGCUUAAAGGGCGCGUAGGCGGGCGACCGCGUCGAGUGCCGAAAGCCCCCGGCUCAACCGGGGAACGGGCCUCGAUACGGGUCGCCUCGAGGCGAGGAGGGGGACCUGGAACUUCCGGUGGAGCGGUGAAAUGCGUUGAGAUCGGAAGGAACGCCGACGGCGAAAGCAAGGUCCUGGACUCGUCCUGACGCUGAGGCGCGAAAGCGUGGGGAGCGAACAGG